UCGUUCGGUCGAGUUCGUAAGGAUCAGUGCGGUGACAUCACGCUUUUCUUUGGUUCUUUUUAUAACAUUUGGAAAAAUUUUUACUUAUUACACUUUAAUUUUUUAGGUAGAUUUUAUGACGAAAAAGAUUAUCAUUUCUAACUUGAACCUAUCUUGAUUAUUUUCUUUUUUUUUUUUUCUUUGGUUUGGUGGUGCCCAAAUAUUCCCUUUAGGGGAAAGUACUGUCCCUUCGAACGUUAAUGCCUUUGAAUAAUGUCAAUAUUAUGCAUGAACGUUCAAAGGGACAGUACUUUCACCUAGGUGCUUAAAUUUUCGGUUAAUAAAAGGUGAUAGAAUUAUUGCUUGAAUGGUUUUUUUUUUGGUGUUGUGUGGUUGAAAUUGGGGUGAUGCUUGCUUUGCUUUGCUUUGCUUGAUCAGUAAAUUGAUGAGCUGCAGUACCUUUUGAACUAAUUGCUUAAUGCUCGGUGUGAGGACAAAAAAGGUGAGGGAAACACAAAUGAAAUAAAUAUAACAAAAAGUAUAAUUAAUGACAAUAACCUCAACUAAUCUGGUUUUAGUAGGUAGAAAUUUUUAUCGGCCUGAAGGUGUAACGUCAAAGUUUAGUUUUUUUAAUUAUUUAUUUAUUUUUUUUUUGUUUGUUGUUUAUAUGCUGGAAAAGAAAAGAGAGAAAUGCAGAAGUAACUAACAAAGCCAUAUAGCUUUCUCAUGCAUCUGUGUUUCUUUAUGGACUAUUACGAUCUCGUGUAGAGCGUUUUCUCCGGAUGGAAACACUGGGUUUUACCUUUAAUAAUGUUUUCGUGAAUCAUUCAAAUUUUUUUUUUGUUUUUAGUUUUUAAUCUUUAGGAAACUUCUAAACAUCUUUUUAUUAUUUUGAUAUUUAUACCAGACGUGCACAAAGGGAACUGUUUGAAACUGAAUAAAACGGUUUAUUUCGGUUUCAAUGGUUCUUGCACGCUUCUGGUUUACACCAUUUUUUGGCUAAUUAAUUUUUCUAACCUAAGCCCCCUGCCCCUGCCCCAAAUGCUUUGUAAAAGCAAGGAAAAGAUGAUUAAACCAUUAAUAAAACAAAAACAUUUUGAACGUAGAGUCUCUAGAAAAAAAAAUUAUAUUAGCAAUAAUUCUGGGAAAAAAAAAGAUGUUUAGACUAAAAUUUACAACUUAAACGAUAUUAACUAACUAGGAAAAGAUAUUUUUUUUGUAACUAAAUUAAUUUUAAUAACUGAUUUCCUGCCAUUUUUUUGCCAUUUGAAAUGCACUUUAAAGACUUUAUUUUACUUCUAACAACACAUUCCAAAUGUAUUUUUUUUUUUAAAUUAAAUGUAACCAAAUAUAGAUUCCAAAUAAAGGUGAAACCAUUCAGGAACAA